AGAGAUAUAACUCAGCAGUAGAGUGUCACCUUGACAUAGUGAAAGUCGUCGGUUCAAGCUUGAUUAUCCCCA
rnacentral:tRNA from 1 species